GUACUUAAAAACUAGCCAAGCGGCCAAGCGGCGGUUCUGCGCUCUGACAUUCGCCUCGGCCUCUCUCGGCCGGCCUCUUCGUUUCCUCCUCCCAGCCGACCGGCCAGCCAGCCAGACCCACCCACCGCCGAUCCCCACGCAAGGGGAACAGGAGAGGAAACAAACCCAGCCUCGUACGCGGAAGGCCUGCCUGGUGAUCGACGAUCGUCGUGCUCGUGGUGGCGGGUCCGGCGUGCGAGCGAGCGAGCGCGGCGCGCAUGGCGAGCGACGGCGACCACGGCGGCGCGCUGCAGAAGCCGCUCUUGCCGAAGGCGCCCAGGAGCGGGGGCUGGUUCCGGAAAGGUACGAGCACGGCGCGCCUCGGCGCCGCCGCUGCCGGCACCUCGUCCAAGGCCGCAGCGCUGCGGCCGCCGCACCACGUGCCCGCGCUACUCUGCACGCUCGUCGUCGCGCUCGGCACCGUCCAGUUCGGCUUCACCAGCGGGUACUCGUCGCCGGCGCAGGACGGCGUCACGCGGGACCUCGACCUCUCCAUCUCCGAGUUCUCGGUGUUCGGCUCGCUGUCCAACGUGGGCGCCAUGGUCGGGGCGAUCGCCAGCGGCCAGAUGGCCAAGUACGUUGGCCGCAGAGGGUCACUGAUGAUUGCGGCGGUUCCGAACGUCAUGGGCUGGCUCGCGAUCUCCCUGGCAAGGGACACUUCGUUUCUGUACGUGGGGAGGUUGCUGGAAGGAUUCGGUGUCGGCGUCAUCUCCUACGUGGUGCCGGUAUACGUAGCAGAGAUAUCUCCUCAGAACAUGAGAGGAGCUCUUGGCGCCGUGAACCCGUUGUCUGCAACCUUUGGUGUCGUGUUUGCCGAUGUGCUUGGCUUGUUUUUUCCUUGGAGGCUUCUUGCGUUAAUAGGAACCUUGCCCUGCCUACUGUUGAUACCUGGACUGUUCUUCAUUCCGGAAUCUCCAAGAUGGCUGGCAAGGAUGAAUAUGAUGGAUGAGUGCGAGGCUUCUCUACAAGUUCUGAGGGGGGUGGACGCUGACAUCACUGUAGAAGCGAAUGAUAUAAAGAUAGCUGUAGCAUCGGCAAACAAAAGUGGUGCAAUGAGCUUUCAAGAGUUGAACCAGAAGAAAUACCGCACGCCCCUAAUUCUAGGAAUGGGCCUACUUGUGUUGCAGCAGCUGAGUGGAAUAAACGGUAUAAUCUUUUAUGCAGGUAGCAUCUUCAAAGCUGCAGGGCUCAAGAACAGUAACCUGGACACAUGUAUACUUGGAGUGAUUGCGGUUCUUGCCACUGCUGUUACGACCAAGAUCUUGGACAGGGCUGGACGGAGAAUCCUCCUUAUCAUUUCUUCUUUUGGGAUGACCCUAAGCCUUCUUGUGGUUGCUGUUGUAUUUUACAUCAAGGGUCUCACAACACAUUUCACUGAAUAUUCUUCUUUUUUGUCAUGGGCUAUUCGUUUCAGGACAAUAUUUCACAUGACUCUGACUUGGGUAACACCUUAAGUAUGGUGUCCUUGGUUGGUGUCUUGGCUUAUGUCACUGCCUACUCCUUUGGUAUGGGUGCCAUUCCAUGGAUCAUAAUGGCUGAGAUCCUUCCAGUUAGCAUCAAGAGUGUGGCAGGAAGCUUUGCGACCCUAGCCAACUGGUUGACAUCCUUUGGAAUAACAAUGACAGCAAAUUUGCUUCUGUCCUGGAGUGCUGCAGGUACAUUUGCCUUCUACAUGAUGGUGAGUGCUUUCACUCUCGUCUUUGUCAUCCUUUGGGUGCCGGAGACAAAGGGAAGAACUCUCGAGGAGAUACAAUGGUCCUUCCAGUGAGCUCCAGUAUUUCAUCUAUAUAUAUGCAAAUAGCGUGGCAAAUCCUCCAGGAUCUAUAAAAAGAUAUAGUGAAAUAUAGCAGAAGCUAUUUCAUUUAGCAAUUUUAUAGUUUAAAUGAAAUUGGCUAUUGAUUCUGCAUGAAAACAUGUAAACAAGGAAAUUUGAUGAACAUAAUACUCAAAUAUAUGUACAGGGAUGUAAAUGAAGAUGUCUCUCGAUCCAUUA